GCGGUAGCUCAGUGGUAGAGCAGCCGGCUGUUAACCGGCUGGUCGUAGGUUCGAANGCCUUCAGGUUUUCGCG
rnacentral:tRNA from 1 species